UCGAUUGCGAAUCGUUGCCUUCAGUGCUGGCCAGCUCUGGCAAGUGCACGCUGGUGACUUUUUCAUCCAAUACCCUUGUGCACCAUUGGCCUCUUGCUAGCUUCGGCCGGCAGAGGAAUUUUACACAAACUCUCGAAUGUAAUGAAAUUUACUGUUGUGCACAAGCACUAAUAUA
rnacentral:misc_RNA from 1 species